rnacentral:hammerhead_ribozyme from 1 species
AUCUAGCUAACGAGUCCCAAAUAGGACGAAACGCAUGUCUUGGAU